CUACAACUUUCAUGAAGAAAUGAAAUCCAAAUUCGAAGCCAAAAUACCUCAAAUCGGAUUAUGAAAUUAACAGUAGGCAAUCGUCAUCAAAUCAAAUGGGUCGGAAUCUCCACCGAACUAAAGCCUGUAAAACCCCCGCUCGAUGAAACUUCACCGGGAAGGUCGUCAAGUCACCAUCUUUUCUUCGAUGAUUGAAUAUGAGCUUCUUCUUACUUCUUGAUUUCUUUCUUGAUUUGGUAGAUGAUAUUUUU
rnacentral:lncRNA from 1 species